rnacentral:tRNA from 1 species
UCUCUGGUGUCUCAGAUGGUAAAGAAUCUGCCUGCAAUGCAGGAGACCUAGGUGCAAUCCCUGGGUUGGGAA